rnacentral:rRNA from 1 species
UACGUAGGGGGCGAGCGUUGUCCGGAUUUAUUGGGCGUAAAGAGCGUGUAGGCGGCCAGGUAGGUUUGCUGUGAAAACUCGAGGCUUAACCUCGAGCUGUCGGCGGAAACCAUCUGGCUAGAGUCCGGAAGAGGAGAAUGGAAUUCCCGGUGUAGCGGUGAAAUGCGCAGAUAUCGGGAAGAACACCCGUGGCGAAGGCGGUUCUCUGGGACGGUACUGACGCUGAGACGCGAAAGCGUGGGGAGCGAACAGG